AUGGAGUGGCUUCAAGUCUCUGGAGUCCUGGCAAGUUUAUUACUCUGCAGUGGAGCUCUAACCACGCCGAGCCCAGCACAGAAUCCCUCCUAUCUCAUAUCCAUCUCUGAAGUUCUACGCUGUGGCGUCCCGACCUCUUUAUCAGUCACCAUUCUGGCAGAGUAUCCCAUCAAAGUCACGGCUGAACUCAUCCACGGAAACAGCAGUGUGGCCCAAACAGAGAGCACCAUCCCAGCAGGUGCUCUACAUCACCAUCAUUUCACUUUUUAUUCUUUUAUUUUAUUGCAUUGCAUUGAAUUAGCAUCUGGCUCACAUCCCACAUUUGCAUAUCUCAUAUACAUAUAUAAAACAUGUAUUAUGUUAGCUUGACAUAACCAACAUAUACCGUUUGGUAAACUUGGGUUAGGUUUAUUUAUAAUUAAUUUUAUUUUAUUAUUUUAUUUAUCAGAAGUUAACUCUUACUCAGAUUUUUUUUUAAAUUUCAUUUCAUUGUUUAGUUUAUUUAAUGUUAUGUUUCAGUAGGGGGCAAUUAAUGAAUAAAAAGCUCACAUAUGUAGAAAAUCUGUAUUAAAUUAUUUCUAAAAAGCACCUUGCGGUUUUUGAAGUUUAUAGCUUAUAUAAUUUAACAAUUAUUAACAUGUAUUCAAAUGUAUUAAUUUAGCCUGAGAUGCAAUGCAAUUUAUUCAAUCCUAAACACAUUAUUUGUCUAACACAGUGUUUAAGUUUACAUUCAAAAUCACAGUCAAACUGGAAAAGUGACCUUAUUAGAAUGACCUAUAUGAUAUUUGUAUAUGAUAAUAUACAUCUCCACCCUGUUCAAACGAGUAUUGAUGUCAUCACAUUCAUGUCUGCCCUGCAUUCGUUUUUAAGGCUCUACCAGACUGCUGGCUCUUCCCCCCGUGAGUAUUAAGACUUUGGUUUCCAUGAAUGAAUCAGUACAGAGUUGCAGGGUUCACUGUGUGUUGUUUUCCCUCCGCAGGUCUUUUCUGAUGACAUGAGUUACUGGUAUCCAUAUCAGCUGGAUGUUAAGGGGUUUGUUGGCACUAAUCAAGUGUUCUCCAACUCCACCACGAUGGUCUUCAGUCCCAAGUGCAUGUCCGUCUUUAUCCAGACCAAUAAGAACAACUACCAACCAGGGCAGACGGUGAAAUUUCGGGUUGUAUUGGUUACACCUGAAGGAAAUCCGCACAAGGGUCAGAUCGAUAUUUUUAUCAGGGUGAGUGUCUGCAGUGUUUGGCAAUAAAGCGACUAGUUUAAAACCCCCUUAGUUGUUCUAAAUUCACUGUAAGCCCCAGAUUCACUGGGCAUAUUGCUUUAUAAAAUGGUUAAUAAAUACAUUAAAUAGAACAAAAAAAAAAAAAAAAUUUCUCCAACUCCACCACGAUGGUCUUACAGUCCCAAGUGCAUGUCCGUCUUUAUCCAGACCAAUAAGAACAACUACCAACCAGGGCAGACGGUGAAAUUUCGGGUUGUAUUGGUUACACCUGAAGGAAAUCCGCACAAGGGUCAGAUCGAUAUUUUUAUCAGGGUGAGUGUCUGCAGUGUUUGGCAAUAAAGCGACUAGUUUAAAACCCCCUUAGUUGUUCUAAAUUCACUGUAAGCCCCAGAUUCACUGGGCAUAUUGCUUUAUAAAAUGGUUAAUAAAUACAUUAAAUGCAAAAAAAAAAAAAAUAAAAAAUUAUGUAAUACUAAUUAAUUAACAUGAUGUGGCGAAUUAAUUAAUACGAAUUAAUCGACGAAUUAAAUUAGAAAAUAUAACAACAAAGAUACAUUUAAAGCCAUUAUUGUGUUAAAUGAGAAAAAUAUCAAGUAGACAUAAGUAGCUUUAGAAAGAAAAAAGUAUUUAAUUCAACACAAAAUUUAUUGCACAUAAACAUUUAGGCUACAACAAACAUGCAUAAACAUAAAAUAA
rnacentral:lncRNA from 1 species